rnacentral:miRNA from 1 species
CAUGUCAGAGUUCUCACCGGCGCAGUACAGGGGAAACGUGAAAAAACAUAGGCCCUGCCCUCCAGGAGCUUACAGUCUAGACAAGGCAGACAGG